GGGCUAAUGAUGAUAACUUCAUUAUCUUAGCGGAUUUCGGUAAGAGAUUUAUUUCAAUGAUCUGAAUGUUACACACACUGAAGCCC